rnacentral:rRNA from 1 species
GACGAACGCUGGCGGCGUGCUUAACACAUGCAAGUCGAACGGUAAGGCCCCAGCUUGCUGGGGUACACGAGUGGCGAACGGGUGAGUAACACGUGGGUGACCUGCCCCGCACUUCGGGAUAAGCCUGGGAAACUGGGUCUAAUGCCGGAUAGGACCGCACCGUGAGGGUGUGGUGGAGAGUUUUUCGGUGUGGGAUGGGCCCGCGGCCUAUCAGCUUGUUGGUGGGGUAAUGGCCUACCAAGGCGGCGACGGGUAGCCGGCCUGAGAGGGUGGACGGCCACAUUGGGACUGAGACACGGCCCAGACUCCUACGGGAGGCAGCAGUGGGGAAUAUUGCACAAUGGGCGGAAGCCUGAUGCAGCGACGCCGCGUGGGGGAUGACGGCCUUCGGGUUGUAAACUCCUUUCACCAUCGACGAAGGUUUUCUGACGGUAGAUGGAGAAGAAGCACCGGCUAACUACGUG